UAUUAAUAUUACGAAAUACAGUGAAUACCCGCCUCCUUAGUCCUUACUCUCCAAACCCACGGGGCAAUUUAGUCGCUCUCUCCUUCCUCUCCAGGCGCACACUCGUCCUCUCCAGACGCUCUCUCUGCCUCUCGCGCGCUUGCUUUCUCAUCUGAAUCCAGGUGUUGUCAUGGCAUCUAAACGCAUCAUGAGGGAGCUCAAGUAUUUGCAGAAGACCCCCUACCUCAUGCAGUGCUGGGCUCCAACGGCGAUGACAAGCUCAACCACCCACAAGCUCUCUCUUUUUCUCUCAUCUAUUCCGACUGAUUCUCACAGCUCGGGGUCCGAUUCUAGCUUUCUUAGGAAAUUGUAGUUUUGGUUAAUUUACUUUAAUCUAGAAUUUGAGGAUAAAUUUGAAAAGAGUUCAAAUCUGCAAGGGGACGGCGACCCCAGGAAGACCCACUACACGCUGGGGUCUGUAAGACGAGGUGUCGUGAGAGGUUGUCUCUGUUGGGUCUUAAAAAGACUUCAUUACUUUGGAGAUGUUUAUCUCACAAAGAAAAAUGUAAUGGAGCGAAAUUCCUCCUAGCCACAAGUUUUGUGGUUCUAGAUAUUUCUACUUGCAAGCCUACUUAAAUAUUGCAAGAACUCCAAAUUUUUUUUAGUAUGCAUGCCUAAUGCACCGACAACCUUUUGCUA